UGGGGAAUCUUGGACAAUGGGCGCAAGCCUGAUCCAGCCAUGCCGCGUGAGUGACGAAGGCCUUAGGGUUGUAAAGCUCUUUUAGCAGGGAAGAUAAUGACGGUACCUGCGGAAUAAGCCCCGGCUAACUUCGUGCCAGCAGCCGCGGUAAU
rnacentral:rRNA from 1 species